UCCUACGGGAGGCAGCAGUGGGGAAUAUUGCACAAUGGGGGAAACCCUGAUGCAGCGACGCCGCGUGAGUGAAGAAGUAUUUCGGUAUGUAAAGCUCUAUCAGCAGGGAAGAAAAUGACGGUACCUGACUAAGAAGCCCCGGCUAACUACGUGCCAGCAGCCGCGGUAAUACGUAGGGGGCAAGCGUUAUCCGGAUUUACUGGGUGUAAAGGGAGCGUAGACGGCAUGACAAGCCAGAUGUGAAAACCCAGGGCUCAACCCUGGGACUGCAUUUGGAACUGCCAGGCUGGAGUGCAGGAGAGGUAAGCGGAAUUCCUAGUGUAGCGGUGAAAUGCGUAGAUAUUAGGAGGAACACCAGUGGCGAAGGCGGCUUACUGGACUGUAACUGACGUUGAGGCUUCGAAAGCGUGGGGAGCAAACAGGAUUAGAUACCCUGGUAGUCCACGCGGUAAACGAUGAUUGCUAGGUGUAGGUGGGUAUGGACCCAUCGGUGCCGCAGCUAACGCAAUAAGCAAUCCACCUGGGGAGUACGUUCGCAAGAAUGAAACUCAAAGGAAUUGACGG
rnacentral:rRNA from 1 species